CGUGCCAGCAGCCGCGGUAACACGGAAGCCCCGAGCGUUGUUCGGAUUCAUUGGGCGUAAAGGGUGCGUAGGCGGCGCGGAAAGUCCGGCGUGAAAGGCAGGGGCUCAACCUCUGGACUGCGUUGGAUACUUCCGUGCUUGGGGACUGGAGGGGAGACUGGAAUUCACGGUGUAGCAGUGAAAUGCGUAGAUAUCGUGAGGAAGACCGGUGGCGAAGGCGAGUCUCUGGACAGAUCCUGACGCUGAGGCACGAAGGCUGGGGGAGCGAACAGGAUUAGAUACCCUGGUAGUCCCAGCAGUAAACGAUGUGAGCUUGAUGUGGGGGGAUUCGACCCCUUCCGUGUCGAAGCUAACGCGAUAAGCUCACCGCCUGAGGAGUACGGCCGCAAGGCUAAAACUCAAAGAAAUCGACGGGGACCCGCACAAGCGGUGGAGUAUGUGGCUUAAUUCGAUGCAACGCGAAGAACCUUACCUGGCCUUGACAUGCAUUGUGUCGUCGGUGAAAGCCGGCUAGUCCUGGAAACAGGACGCUUUGCACAGGUGCUGCAUGGCUGUCGUCAGCUCGUGUCGUGAGAUGUUGGGUUAAGUCCCGCAACGAGCGCAACCCUUGUGGUCAGUUACUAACCGGCUUAGCCGGAGGACUCUGGCCAGACUGCCCUGUCAAACGGGGAGGAAGGUGGGGACGACGUCAAGUCAGUAUGGCCCUUAUGGCCAGGGCUGCACACGUACUACAAUGCCCGGUACAAUGUGAACCGAAACCGCGAGGUGGAGGAAAUCGCUCUUGAAAACCGGGCCCAGUUCGGAUUGGAGUCUGCAACUCGACUCCAUGAAGUCGGAAUCGCUAGUAAUGGC
rnacentral:rRNA from 1 species